rnacentral:rRNA from 1 species
GAAGUAGCAAUACUUAGUGGCAGACGGGUGAGUAACAUGUAGGUAUCUGCCCUUUGGCCUGGAAUAACACGAGGAAACUUGUGCUAAUACCGGAUAAGUCUUUACGGAGAAAGCUUUAUGCACCAUUGGAUGAGCCUGCACUUGAUUAGUUUGUUGGUGGGGUAAUGGCCUACCAAGACUGUGAUCAAUAGCUGAUUUGAGAGGAUGAUCAGCCACAUUGGGACUGAGACACGGCCCAAACUCCUACGGGAGGCAGCAGUGGGGAAUCUUGCACAAUGGAGGAAACUCUGAUGCAGCGAUGCCGCGUGAGUGAAGAAGGCCCUUGGGUUGUAAAGCUCUUUCGUCGGGGAAGAAAAUGACUGUACCCGAAUAAGAAGGUCCGGCUAACUUCGUGCCAGCAGCCGCGGUAAUACGAAGGGACCUAGCGUAGUUCGGAAUUACUGGGCUUAAAGAGUUCGUAGGUGGUUGAAAAAGUUAGUGGUGAAAUCCCAGAGCUUAACUCUGGAACUGCCAUUAAAACUUUUCAGC